UGGGGAAUUUUGGACAAUGGGGGAAACCCUGAUCCAGCCAUCCCGCGUGUGCGAUGAAGGCCUUCGGGUUGUAAAGCACUUUUGGCAGGAAAGAAACGUCGCGGGUUAAUACCCCGCGAAACUGACGGUACCUGCAGAAUAAGCACCGGCUAACUACGUGCCAGCAGCCGCGGUAAUACGUAGGGUGCAAGCGUUAAUCGGAAUUACUGGGCGUAAAGCGUGCGCAGGCGGUUCGGAAAGAAAGAUGUGAAAUCCCAGAGCUUAACUUUGGAACUGCAUUUUUAAACUACCGGGCUAGAGUGUGUCAGAGGGAGGUGGAAUUCCGCGUGUAGCAGUGAAAUGCGUAGAUAUGCGGAGGAACACCGAUGGCGAAGGCAGCCUCCUGGGAUAACACUGACGCUCAUGCACGAAAGCGUGGGGAGCAAACAGGAUUAGAUACCCUGGUAGUCCACGCCCUAAACGAUGUCAACUAGCUGUUGGGGCCUUCGGGCCUUGGUAGCGCAGCUAACGCGUGAAGUUGACCGCCU
rnacentral:rRNA from 1 species